GGACGGAAGGCGUGGAAGCGGGAGGGGCCUUCGUGUGAAAAUCCCUUGUGGGGUUUGGUGUUUCACUUUUUAAAGGCAUACAACUUAGGAUUCAUAACUACAUAUAUACGGAUAGAAGUGCAUGAACAGAAAAUCUGCCCUUCUGGAAUACCAAAUGCAAAAUUAAAGUGACUACAAGCAGAAUUUGGAGAAAAAAAUAAAAGAUGCAAUAUAGUUUUUAAAAUCAUUGUUAAAAUAUAAUGAGUCUGUACUUUGCUUAAACAAUAAAAAAGUCUUCGAUUUAUA
rnacentral:lncRNA from 1 species